CGGGUGAGUAACACGUGAGAAACCUGCCCUGAAGUCUGGGAUAACCCACGGAAACGUGAGCUAAUACCGGAUACCUUCCUUUGGUCGCAUGGCCGUUGGAAGAAAGAUUCAUUGCUUCAGGAGGGUCUCGCGGCCUAUCAGCUUGUUGGCGGGGUAACGGCCCACCAAGGCGUCGACGGGUAGCUGGUCUGAGAGGACGAUCAGCCACACUGGGACUGAGACACGGCCCAG
rnacentral:rRNA from 1 species